rnacentral:rRNA from 1 species
AACGAACGCUGGCGGCAUGCCUAACACAUGCAAGUCGAACGAGACCUUCGGGUCUAGUGGCGCACGGGUGCGUAACGCGUGGGAACCUGCCCUUAGGUUCGGAAUAACUCCCCGAAAGGGGUGCUAAUACCGGAUAAUGUCUUCGGACCAAAGAUUUAUCGCCUUUGGAUGGGCCCGCGUUGGAUUAGCUAGUUGGUAGGGUAAAAGCCUACCAAGGCGACGAUCCAUAGCUGGUCUGAGAGGAUGAUCAGCCACACUGGGACUGAGACACGGCCCAGACUCCUACGGGAGGCAGCAGUGGGGAAUAAUGGACAAUGGGCGAAAGGCUGAUCCAGCAAUGGCGGGUGAGGGAUGAAGGCCUUAGGGUUGUAAAGCUCUUUUACCCGGGAUGAUAAUGACAGUACCGGGAGAAUAAGCUCCGGCUAACUCCGUG